AUUAAAUCAACAUAAUUCCUAAAUAGCAUCUUCCUUAACUGCAUCAGUUAGCCUAGUGAUUCAAUACCAGGACUUUGAUUCUCCCAGUGUGUGCAUUGGGACAAUAAACCAUCACGCUAAUGGCCAAGUUCUAUGACUAAGAAAAUAUGGCAUAAGUAACAUGUGGUAAUGAACAUCAAUACCAUGUGUUUUUUAGGCUUUUAUUUUAUGCUCAUUGCAAAGCAUGUUAAGCAUUGAUUUUGUAAAUCCACUCUCAAAAACAAUUUUUACCCAUGCAUUGUCAUCAUUGGCAUUGUCACAACUAGAUUUUUACCCAUGCAUUUAUAAAAGUUUGGCUUUGACUAUCCAUGAUACAAGGAUCUUCUUCUUUGUGAAAUAUUUGUUGCUUUCAUUAAUUAACUAAAAUCUUUCCCCAUUUAAAUUUCUGCACUCUUAAACUUAGUGCUCACCAAAUUAUCAUAUCCAAUUAUUUUGUUAAAUCAUAAAUUUUGAAAGUCGAAUUUCUUAAUUUUGUAUUCUCUUCAAUUCCCUUUUAGCUAAAUUCAUUGCAAGGCUAACCAAAGUGGAAAUUUAUAAAAAAUCAUAUUUGCACAUUCCCUAAUGUUAGUAAACAAAAAAGGGGGGGCUGGUUUGGCCAAGCAG
rnacentral:misc_RNA from 1 species